rnacentral:lncRNA from 1 species
AACCCAGCCCAGGGGCCUCACCCCAGAUUCUCAGCAGCCUCCUCACCCCAGGACCUCUCUGUGAGGUGGGACAAAGAUGGUCAGUGAAGUUCCUGUGUGAGGGAAUAGGCACAGUAGGUCCUUUCCCACCUGGCAGCACUCAGCACACCCACACUGCCCCUCACCCACCUGCUACAUCACAGUGCAGCUCUGCCACAAGCCUUUGGGAGAGUCAAGAGCAGACUGCAGGGUGGCCUUGGUCAGCUUGCUGUGCUUGGGUGCUCCAGACUCAUCUCCUGGAGCUUUGUGGAGUCCAUGCUACAGUUAUGGCUCAUAAGGAGGAGAUGUCCAUGGUGUGGCACAAUACCACCUGCAGCAGCCCCAGUAAUCCUCACCCAAAAGGUCAGCUGUGGUGAAAGAGCUGAUGAAGCUGCCCUCGCAUCCUCCAGGACUGAAAGGACCUGUGGUCGAAGGCCAGAGAAGCUCAGUGCUGAUGGUGGAGGCAAAAUUACUCUGGCCAGACGCAUCUCAUCACACUUCCACAGCUGGUCCUGCACAUCCCAUAAGCACCUCAUGCACUUGUGUAAUAGAACAUCAAUAUCACUGGAAAGAAGAGCCGUUCCCAAUCGGAAUGACAAAGAGGUAGCUGUCUCCUUAAGAUACCAGGAUAUCAUCUGCAGCUUGGAGCCCGCCACGACAGUGGAUGAUCUCACAGGAACACUUCUGGGUGACAGAGGCUCCAGGGUUUCCUGGUGCCUGGCACCCAUCCACUGA